GACGAACGCUGGCGGCAUGCCUAAUACAUGCAAGUCGAGCGAACAGAUGAAGUGCUUGCACUUCUGACGUUAGCGGCGAACGGGUGAGUAACACGUAAGGAAUCUACCUAUAAGCGGGGGAUAACAUUCGGAAACGGGUGCUAAUACCGCAUAAUAUCUUCUUCCGCAUGGAAGAAGAUUGAAAGACGGCUCUGCUGUCACUUAUAGAUGACCUUGCGGUGCAUUAGUUAGUUGGUGGGGUAACGGCCUACCAAGACGAUGAUGCAUAGCCGACCUGAGAGGGUGAUCGGCCACAUUGGGACUGAGACACGGCCCAAACUCCUACGGGGGGCAGCAGUAGGGAAUCGUCCGCAAUGGGCGAAAGCCUGACGGAGCAAUGCCGCGUGAGUGAAGAAGGCCUUCGGGUUGUAAAACUCUGUUAUAAGAGAAGAACAAAUUGUAGAGUAACUGCUACAGUCUUGACGGUAUCUUAUCAGAAAGCCACGGCUAACUACGUGCCAGCCGCCGCCGUAA
rnacentral:rRNA from 1 species